rnacentral:rRNA from 1 species
UUUAGUCAGGCAACGAGCGAGACCUGCGCCUACAAUUGCCAGCGACAGCUUGCUGGAUCGGGCACAUUGUAGGGACUGCCCUGGAAACAGGGAGGAAGGUGCAGGCUACGGUAGGUCUGUAUGCUCCGAAUCCUCUGGGCUACACGCGCGCAACAAUGGUAAGGACAAUGGGAUGCCACUCCGAAAGGAGGAGCUAAGCCUCUAAACCUUAUCCAAGUCCAGAUUGAGGGCUGCAACCCGCCCUCAUGACGCUGGAAUCCCUAGUAAUCGGAAUUCAUCACGUUCCGGUGAAUAUGUCCCUGCUCCUUGCACA